CAAUAGCGUAUAUUAAAGUUGUUGCGGUUAAAAGCUCGUAGUUGGAUUUCUGUGGAAGAUGGGCGGUCCGCACUUUGUGCGUGUAUCUGUUACAGCUUCCGCAUCCUCUCAUAGAACGGGUUGGGAUUAACUUCUCGAUUCGCAAUAUGGGACUUUUACUUUGAGGAAAUUAGAGUGUUCACGGCAAGCAAUCGCUUUGAAUACAUUAGCAUGGAAUAAUAAUAUAGGGCCUUGGUACUAUUUUGUUGGUUUCUAGAACUAAGGUAAUGAUUAAUAGGGUAUAAUUGGGGGCAUUCGUAUUUAACGCGUCAGAGGUGGAAUUCUUGGAUUGCGUAACGACGAACUACUGCGAAAGCAUUUGCCAAGGAUGUUUUCAUUGAUCAAGAACGAAAGUAUGGGGAUCGAAGAAGAUCAGAUACCAU
rnacentral:rRNA from 1 species